rnacentral:misc_RNA from 1 species
UGAGACAAGCAUAUGACUACUGGCAGGAUCAACCAGGUAGCAUUCCAUGUCGACUUUUGGCACUGCAUGGACAAGCCAAAACAACACCAAUUGUCAUUCGUACAUAGCAUGGAACGCUUUUUAGGGGCAAAUGGAGAUCGAAUGUGCCUCGUACCCACGAGGUACUCCAUGACCGAGAGAACAAGCAUGGUGCCAUUCAUCCAACAACCCAAUAGCAUUGAAGCCAAGGGGGGUUGGAGCAUGACAUUUGCUUCAAAAUUCAUCCGACGCCACGAGCCCAAGGGCUCAAAACGAAGUGCGAAAAAUUAUUAAUCCAACAAAUUCCCACUCUUUGGGUACAAGAUCACAGGAAACAAGACUCGGCCAAGAUAUUUUUUCUACUCUUGAACCAAUAACUGAAAAGACGUGUCAGAUACAUGUUCGCUGCACAAGCAAGGACUCGACAUACCUGUACACAUCAACC